GAUGAACGCUGGCGGCGUGCUUAACACAUGCAAGUCGAACGAGAACGGAUUAUAGCUUGCUAUAAUUGUCAGCUAAGUGGCGCACGGGUGAGUAAUGUAUAGGUAAUAUGCCUUUUACUAAGGAAUAACAAAUGGAAACGUUUGCUAAUACCUUAUACUCCUUAUUAACCUAAGUUAAUAAGGGAAAGAUUUAUUGGUAAGAGAUUAGCCUGUAUUGUAUCAGUUAGUUGGUGGGGUAAUGGCUUACCAAGACUAUGACACAUAACUGGUUUGAGAGGAUGAUCAGUCACACUGGAACUGAGACACGGUCCAGACUACUACGGGAGGCAGCAGUGGGGAAUAUUGCACAAUGGACGGAAGUCUGAUGCAGCAACGCCGCGUGGAGGAUGACACAUUUCGGUGCGUAAACUCCUUUUAUAUGAGAAGAUAAUGACGGUAUUAUAUGAAUAAGCACCGGCUAACUCCGUGCCAGCCGCCGCCGUAA
rnacentral:rRNA from 1 species